GGCAGACCAUGUGAGGACAGUGGAAGAAGAAAGCUGUUGACCUUAAAUAUAAAACUGCAUUUCUGUGCAGCUUGGGCUAAUAUUCAGGGCACACUGCCUGAUGCAGCAGCCAUCCCAGGGCCUUCAGUGGUGGAAAUACUGAGUUGGCAGUCUAGAAUUCCAGAGCAGCUGCUGAUGGAGAAGGCAUUUAGGAAGCAGCAAUGAACUAAAGAGCUGUCACGCUGAGAUUUCUUCUGACUUUUGCUGGAAAUACUUGGCUAUGGGAGUUUUGUACCCCACUGAAUAUGAACAAGAAACUAUAACCUGGAGACUGUUUUGGGACCAGCAUUGGAGGCCUCCCAGAGUGAGGCCAACCAAG